UAUCUCUGUAGAGUCUGCAUAUCAAUAAGCGGAGGAAAAGAAACUAACAAGGAUUCCCCUAGUAACGGCGAGUGAAGCGGGAAGAGCUCAAAUUUGAAAUCUUCAAGGUUUGACCUUGACGAAUUGUAGUUUAAAGAAGUGUUUUCGGUUAGAGGAGUAGUAAAGGUUCUUUGGAAUAGGACAUCAUAGAGGGUGAGAAUCCCGUAUUUGACUAUUCUUUCUAGCUUUGUGAUACACUUUCAAAGAGUCGGAUUGUUUGGGAAUGCAGUCCAAAAUGGGUGGUAAAUUUCAUCUAAAGCUAAAUAUUGGCGAGAGACCGAUAGCGAACAAGUACCGUGAGGGAAAGAUGAAAAGAACUUUGAAAAGAGAGUUAAACAGUACGUGAAAUUGUCAAAAGGGAAGCGUUUGACACCAGUGUUGUUUUUCCGAAAAUCAAUUAAAAUUGAUUCAUGCCAGGUUGUAUUGACCUUAUCAGCUUGCAAUUUGGUUUUGGGUCUCUUUUUGAUGCACUUUUCGGUUAACAAGUCAACAUCAAUUUCCUUUGCUGUAAAAAGGUAAGAGGAAGGUGGCUUCAAUUUCGGUUGAAGUGUUUAUAGCCUUUUAUCUCUGCAGUCGGGGAGAUUGAGGUCUGCAGCGUAGAUCCUUCGGGGCUAGAUACAUUUAUGCUAAGUUAUAGCUUUUCAUAGACAACUUGUUGACUAUGUUUAGUCAUGUAGCUUACUCGUAAGUGCUAUUUUACCUGCGCUUAGGAUGUUGAAGACUCUACAGAGAUA
rnacentral:rRNA from 1 species